rnacentral:lncRNA from 1 species
AGAGUGGAAAAAGGAGAGGAUAUGUGGAGCGAAGUGAGGGGAUUGCCACCAAACUGUGCUAACAUUGGUUGUCCUUCCAUUUCUAAGGACAUUUGUGUAGGUACCAACAUGGCAAGCGAAGGCGAACAAUGCCAAAAGGAAGUUGCUGCCCAAGCUUGUGGAGGACCUUCACCUCACGGCAAGGAAGAGUCUACUCAAGAUCUUAAAGGUAAAAUAGCUAACUUUUACACUUUAGUGCAUGUGAAUGACAAUUGUGUAGCUAGUAAGCCAUUGAGUGUGAGUAGUAGCUUACUUAUUUAUGAGUCUAAUGAUUCCUUGCCUCUUGUUGAUGAUGUACAUAUUGUGAGUUUGGAUACACUAUCAACUUGUUUGUGAAAAUUGUCCCCCACUUGAGUAUGUGUGUGAUGUGCUUAAUAGAACUCAAGUGAGUGAAGUAUUUAAAAAUAUUGGUCAACAAAGUGGGAGUGAACCCGAGAUCUCUUCUUGGGGUAAUCUUGUGUUUGGAACAUCCUUGAAACUUGAUAUUGAUCAUUU